UACGUAGGUGGCAAGCGUUGUCCGGAUUUACUGGGCGUAAAGGGCGUGCAGGCGGUUUGUUAAGUGCAGGGUGAAAGCUCCCGGCUCAACUGGGAGAGGUCCUUGCAUACUGGCAGACUUGAGGGAGGCAGAGGAAAGUGGAAUUCCCGGUGUAGUGGUGAUAUGCGUAGAUAUCGGGAGGAACACCUGUGGCGAAGGCGGCUUUCUGGGCCUUACCUGACGCUGAGGAGCGAAAGCGUGGGGAGCAAACGGG
rnacentral:rRNA from 1 species